rnacentral:rRNA from 1 species
ACGAACGCUGGCGGCGUGCUUAACACCUGCAAGUCGAACGGAAAGGCCUGCUUUUGUGGGGUGCUCGAGUGGCGAACGGGUGAGUAACACGUGAGUAACCUGCCCUUGACUUUGGGAUAACUUCAGGAAACUGGGGCUAAUACCGGAUAGGAGCUCCUGCUGCAUGGUGGGGGUUGGAAAGUUUCGGCGGUUGGGGAUGGACUCGCGGCUUAUCAGCUUGUUGGUGGGGUAGUGGCUUACCAAGGCUUUGACGGGUAGCCGGCCUGAGAGGGUGACCGGCCACAUUGGGACUGAGAUACGGCCCAGACUCCUACGGGAGGCAGCAGUGGGGAAUAUUGCACAAUGGGCGGAAGCCUGAUGCAGCAACGCCGCGUGCGGGAUGACGGCCUUCGGGUUGUAAACCGCUUUCGCCUGUGACGAAGCGUGAGUGACGGUAAUGGGUAAAGAAGCACCGGCUAACUACGUG